AGAGAGAGAGAGAGAGAGAGAGAGAGAAGGAAGCCACGGCUAAGAGGGAGGGAGGAAGGAGAGGUCCGUUUUCGACGAUCCAACUCGGUAACAAGUAACGAGCCGGUCUUUUAGGAGGUGCCGAAACCGUAAGUUUGGCAUACUCCAGUCGAAUGAAAGGUGAGUGUGUCUGAUAUGGUUCUUCUCAAUAAGAUAUUGCUAUGGUGGUAUGUAUAUAUCUUGCUAUGGUAUUUUAGCUUUCAAUAUGAUUAUCGAUAUGUAAAUAAUGCGGUGGAGGUGAUUAUAUAUCAAUGAUAUCAUGCUAAUCGAGGUUUAGCUAUUGAUAUGGAUAUAUGUGGUCGAAGUUGUAUAUCAUGCUAUAUAUUGUUUUAGCUAAUGGUAUGCAUGCUUGUUGUAUGUUGAUUGUACUCGCUAAAGGAUUGUGGAGUGAGUCACACCAUAUCGUGGGCCAUGCCGUCUAAUUAACGGUGAAUGGGAGUGUGGUGUGCGGGACACAAUACGUUGGGUACAUGGGAUUGUGGCAGACGUGCCACUGCAUGCUUAUGUGAUUUAUAAUUAUGCUGUUGUUGAUUCAAUUAUUAUUAUGUGGUUGUUUAUGGGAUGAUACUGCUAUGUUUAGAGCAUGUGAUGGAUAUAACUGUUGUAUACAUUCGAGUGUUUCAGUUAUGCUGGAGUUUUAUAUCUAUGUCGAUAUUCCUCCGGGUAUUGUGAUAUCUUAUCGAGCACUUCUAUGUUUCACACACUCUGGCUUUCCUUUUUGGACUGUCAGGUAGCAGGUGGCUUAGAGUGGGUUCACUACUGGUCAACGCCUUGGAGAGUGCUGAGACUCGUGUUGGGUGAUGUCUUAGGUUAGAUUGUUAUGUAGCUGAUUCGUCUAGAAGUUAACCUACAUGUUUUGUAAUUAAUUGAAGAGAGGGAUAUUCAUUAUGACUUGUGAGUUGAGUUUUUGGCGUUGACUCAUUUCUAUUUUAUGUGAGAAGUCUUCCGCUAAGUUGUAUUCUGAUUGGUUGUAGAGUGUGGUGUGAUCUUUUGUGUGGAAUGCCACGUGGCCGCGCCGACUCGGGCCCACUUUGGGUGUCGUUUGCGGGGCGGGGCGUGA